rnacentral:rRNA from 1 species
GAGUUUGAUCCUGGCUCAGAAUCAACGCUGGCGGCGUGCCUAACACAUGCAAGUCGAACGCGAAAGUGGAGCAAUCCAUGAGUAGAGUGGCAAACGGGUGAGUAACACGUGACUAACCUGCCUUCGAGUGGGGGAUAACCUCGGGAAACCGGGGCUAAUACCGCAUAAUGCCUUCGGGUUAAAGGAGCAAUUCGCUUGAAGAGGGGGUCGCGGCUGAUUAGCUAGUUGGCGGGGUAACGGCCCACCAAGGCGAUGAUCGGUAGCCGGCCUGAGAGGGCGCACGGCCACACUGGAACUGAAACACGGUCCAGACUCCUACGGGAGGCAGCAGUGGGGAAUUUUGCGCAAUGGGGGAAACCCUGACGCAGCAACGCCGCGUGGAGGAUGAAGUCCCUUGGGACGUAAACUCCUUUCGACCGGGACGAUUAUGACGGUACCGGUGGAAGAAGCCCCGGCUAACUACGUGCCAGCAGCCGCGGUAAUACGUAGGGGGCAAGCGUUGUCCGGAUUUAUUGGGCGUAAAGAGCGUGUAGGCGGCCAGACAGGUCCGUUGUGAAAACUCGAGGCUCAACCUCGAGACGCCGAUGGAAACCGUUUGGCUAGAGUCCGGAAGAGGAGAGUGGAAUUCCUGGUGUAGCGGUGAAAUGCGCAGAUAUCAGGAAGAACACCCGUGGCUAAGGCGGCUCUCUAGUACGGUACUGACGCUGAGACGCGAAAGCGUGGGGAGCGAACAGGAUUAGAUACCCUGGUAGUCCACGCCGUAAACGAUGGGCACUAGGUGCUUGGGGGAGCGACCCUCCGAGUGCCGGCGCUAACGCAUUAAGUGCCCCGCCUGGGGAGUACGGCCGCAAGGCUGAAACUCAAAGGAAUUGACGGGGGCCCGCACAAGCAGCGGAGCGUGGGGUUUAAUUCGAUGCAACGCGAAGAACCUUACCAAGGCUUGACAUGACCAGGGAUCCGGCGGAAACGUCGGCGCCCCGCAAGGGGCCUGGCCACAGGUGUUGCAUGGCUGUCGUCAGCUCGUGUCGUGAGAUGUUGGGUUAAGUCCCGCAACGAGCGCAACCCCUACUGUGUGUUGUAUCACUCACACGGGACUGCCGAGAGAAACUCGGAGGAAGGCGGGGAUGACGUCAAGUCAGCAUGGCCCUUACGUCUUGGGCUACACCCACGCUACAAUGGCCGGUACAACGGGCUGCGAAACCGCGAGGUGGAGCCAAUCCCUAAAGCCGGUCUCAGUUCGGAUCGUAGGCUGCAACUCGUCUACGUGAAGCCGGAGUUGCUAGUAACCACCGGUCAGCAUACGGUGGUGAAUAUGUUCCCGGGCCUUGUACACAC